AUGUGCAGCAGGGAAGGAUUUAGGACUGAGAAGAACAAGGAGAUUAAAGACCCAUCAAACCAAUCAAAGAAAAGCCGUAAGAAUACAACCACUCGAUGCGGUUGUGAUGCACAUAUCUUUGUCAAGUUGUGUGGCGACAACACCUACAGGAUACAAUCAUGGGUUGAGCACCAUAGCCAUGGCCUUGUAUCACCUGAUAAACGUCACUUGAUCAGAUCAAAUCGUAAAGUUAAUGAGAGGGCAAAAAAUAUGUUGUACACAUGUCACAAAGCAAGCAUAGGUACAUGCCAGGCGUACAGGCUCCUUCAAGUCAGCGAAGGUGGGUUUCCGUAUGUUGGAUGCAGCAAGAGGGACCUGCAAAACUACUACCGUGACCUCAGGCUUAAAAUUAGGAACGCUGAUGCUCAAAUGUUUGUCGCUCAACUAGCUAGAAAGCAAGAAGUCAAUUCAGCUUUCUUCUAUGAUUUUGUUGUUGACAAAGAGGGGAACUUAAUGUAUGUUUUCUGGGCAGAUGCCAUGAGUAGGAAAAACUACAGUCACUUUGGGGGUGAUUGUGUGGUAUCCUUCGAUUCUACUUACACCACUAAUCAAUACGACAUGAUCUUUGCACCAUUUAUAGGGGUCAAUCAUCACUUACAGAGUGUGUUUUUUGGUGCGGCAUUCUUGUGCAAUGAGCAGACUGAGUCAUAUGUUUGGUUAUUUGAGACCUUCCUAACAGCAAUGGCAGGGGUAGCACCUAGACUCAUUAUAACUGAUGAAGCUGUUAGCAUGAAGAAUGCGAUUGAAACAGUUUUUUCGACCACAGUGCAUAGGUUAUGUAUGUGGCACAUAAUGGAAAAACUUCCGGAGAAGAUUGGACCAAUAAUUAGAGAAGAUUCUGAAUUUUGGGACAAGAUGAAUUCGUGUGUAUGGGUUUUGGAAACUCCAGCAGAGUUUGAAUCACAAUGGAAUUCCGUCAUUACGGAGUAUGGCUUGGAGGAAAAUGAGUGGCUGGUUAAAAGGUUUAGCAUUCGCGAGUCAUGGAUACCAGCUUACUUUAUGGACAUACCAUUGGCGGGUAUUCUCCGAACCACUUCAAGGUCUGAAAGUGCAAAUUCAUUUUUUAACCGUUUUAUUCAUCGUAAGCUUGCUUUGGUUGAGUUCUGGCUUAGGUUUGACAUGGCAUUAGAAUGCCAACGAGAAGAAGAGUUGAUUGCUGACAACUCAAGCAUUCAUACAACCCCGCAACUAUUAACACCAUGGGAAAUGGAGAAACAAGGUAGAGAUGUGUUUACAUAUGAGGUGUUUGAGAAAUUUCAGAAAGAGAUUGUUGCAGCAAGAGACCAUUGUUGCAUCCAAGGCAUUGCACAAGAUGGAACACUAAAAAUAGUGACAUUGAGAGGUCGAUCCCAUAGGAUUAGGGAAGUUCAGUGUGUCACCACAACCAUGAUAGCUCAUUGUUCAUGUAAGUUAUUUGAAACAAUUGGAAUCCCGUGCCGCCAUAUCAUGCAGGUGUUGAGGGCUGAAAAUCAAAAUGAACUUCCAUCGUACUACAUUAUGAAAAGAUGGAAGAAAUGGUGCAAAAGGGAGAAUGUGUAUGAUGAGCAUGGGAAUUUAAUAGAAGAGAAGGCAACCGAUUCGUUGAAUGAAGCUACGAGGAAGAAGAUUUCAGUUGUACGCAACAAGUUGGAAGAUCUAAUUCAGAAGGCCAAGCACUCGGAUGAAGGCAUGGAUUUUCUAACGUCAAGUGUAUUAAAUAUUGAAGCACCUUUGGAUGAAAUGGUUCCUACAUCAGGUGUGAAGCACACUAGACAAGAUGAGUAUGAGGCUUUUAUUGGUUGCAAUAUUCCUACUGAAAUUGACAUACACCCACCAACUGAUGUUCGCACGGUGGGGAGAUGCAAAAGAAUAAAGAGAGGAAAGGAAAUAAGUGAGGAGGAACAGAAAAAGAAGAAGAAGGAAGCCAAGGUAAAGGUUGCACGCUUGUGCAAGACUUGCAAACAAAUAGUUUUUCAUGAUAGUCGCAAUUGUCCUAGCAAAAAAGAAGGCAAAGGGGCGGAGAUUGUGCAGCAGAUGAAGCCAAGUGGUGUUCCG
rnacentral:rRNA from 1 species